rnacentral:rRNA from 1 species
GAUGAACGCUGGCGGCGUGCUUAACACAUGCAAGUCGAACGUGAUCCAUUAGCAAUAGUGGUGAAAGUGGCGAACGGGUGAGUAACACGUAGAUAACCUGCCCUGAAGAGGGGGAUAACGACUGGAAACGGUCGCUAAUACCGCAUAAUGUCUUUUAGUAGGGAUACUGGAAGAAGAAAACUCUGGUGCUUCAGGAGGGGUCUGCGUCCGAUUAGCUAGUUGGUGAGGUAAAGGCUCACCAAGGCGACGAUCGGUAGCUGGUCUGAGAGGACGAUCAGCCACACGGGAACUGAGACACGGUCCCGACUCCUACGGGGGGCAGCAGUGAGGAAUAUUGCCCAAUGGGGGAAACCCUGAGGCAGCAACGCCGCGUGGAGGAAGAAGGUCUUUACGAUCGUAAACUUCUUUUGUGAGGGAAGAGGAAGGACGGUACCUCAUGAAUAAGUCACGGCUAACUACGUG